rnacentral:rRNA from 1 species
AUUGAACGCUGGCGGCAUGCCUUACACAUGCAAGUCGAACGGUAACAGGUCUUCGGAUGCUGACGAGUGGCGAACGGGUGAGUAAUACAUCGGAACGUGCCUAGUAGUGGGGGAUAACUACUCGAAAGAGUGGCUAAUACCGCAUGAGAUCUACGGAUGAAAGCAGGGGAUCGCAAGACCUUGUGCUACUAGAGCGGCCGAUGGCAGAUUAGGUAGUUGGUGGGAUAAAAGCUUACCAAGCCGACGAUCUGUAGCUGGUCUGAGAGGACGAUCAGCCAGUAUGGGACUGAGACACGGCACAGACUCCUACGGGAGGCAGCAGUGGGGAAUUUUGGACAAUGGGCGAAAGCCUGAUCCAGCAAUGCCGCGUGCAGGAUGAAGGCCUUCUGGUUGUAAACUGCUUUUGUACGGAACGAAAAGCCCCGGGUUAAUACCCUGGGGUCAUGACGGUACCGUAAGAAUAAGCACCGGCUAACUACGUGCCAGCCGCCGCCGUAA